GAUGAACGCUGGCGGCGUGCCUAAUACAUGCAAGUCGAGCGAACAGACGAGGAGCUUGCUCCUUCGACGUUAGCGGCGGACGGGUGAGUAACACGUAGGUAACCUACCUAUAAGACUGGGAUAACUUCGGGAAACCGGAGCUAAUACCGGAUAAUAUUUCGAACCGCAUGGUUCGAUAGUGAAAGAUGGCUUUGCUAUCACUUAUAGAUGGACCUGCGCCGUAUUAGCUAGUUGGUAAGGUAACGGCUUACCAAGGCAACGAUACGUAGCCGACCUGAGAGGGUGAUCGGCCACACUGGAACUGAGACACGGUCCAGACUCCUACGGGAGGCAGCAGUAGGGAAUCUUCCGCAAUGGGCGAAAGCCUGACGGAGCAACGCCGCGUGAGUGAUGAAGGUCUUCGGAUCGUAAAACUCUGUUAUUAGGGAAGAACAAACGUGUAAGUAACUGUGCACGUCUUGACGGAACCUAAUCAGAAAGCCACGGCUAACUACGUG
rnacentral:rRNA from 1 species